GAUAAGGCAGCUUAGCCUUAAGAUGAACUGGCAUUGUUGCAGGAGGAUUUAGCUGUUGGAGCAGUAAUUCGUUUAUGGACAUCUUUCAUUGGGAGAAAUGGAAAACAGCAUGCAAGUAGUUCAGCAUGGUGACUGAGCUUGAGUGGGAUGGAAAUAGGAGCCCUGCAGGAGACCAAGUGAGCCAGUGCAAAAGAAAGGCUACAAAAGGCAUCCAUCUAGUUGAAUUCCUGCAUAAAGGCCUGUAG
rnacentral:lncRNA from 1 species